UACGUAGGGUGCAAGCGUUGUCCGGAAUUAUUGGGCGUAAAGAGCUCGUAGGCGGUCUGUCGCGUCGGAUGUGAAACCUCGGGGCUCAACCCCGAGCCUGCAUUCGAUACGGGCAGACUAGAGUUCGGUAGGGGAGACUGGAAUUCCUGGUGUAGCGGUGAAAUGCGCAGAUAUCAGGAGGAACACCGGUGGCGAAGGCGGGUCUCUGGGCCGAUACUGACACUGAGGCACGAAGGCCAGGGGAGCAAACGGG
rnacentral:rRNA from 1 species